rnacentral:piRNA from 1 species
AGGGCAAAUGGCUUUAAAAAAAUAUUUAAGG